rnacentral:rRNA from 1 species
UACAGAGGUCUCAAGCGUUGUUCGGAUUCAUUGGCGUAAAGGGUGCGUAGGCGGCGCGGUAAGUCGGGUGUGAAAUCUCGGAGCUUAACUCCGAAACUGCAUUCGAUACUGCCGUGCUUGAGGACUGGAGAGGAGACUGGAAUUUACGGUGUAGCGGUGAAAUGCGUAGAUAAUCGUAAGGAAGACCAGUGGCGAAGGCGGGUCUCUGGACAGUUCCUGA